GGGCUGCAGUGGGGAAUUUUGGACAAUGGGGGAAACCCUGAUCCAGCCAUUCCGCGUGAGUGAAGAAGGCCUUCGGGUUGUAAAGCUCUUUCGCAAGGGAAGAAAAGAUAUAGGUGAAUAGCUUAUGUUGAUGACGGUACCUUGACAAGAAGCACCGGCUAACUACGUGCCAGCAGCCGCGGUAAUACGUAGGGUGCAAGCGUUAAUCGGAAUUACUGGGCGUAAAGCGUGCGCAGGCUGUUUUGUAAGUCAGAUGUGAAAUCCCCGAGCUCAACUUGGGAACUGCGUUUGAAACUACAAGACUAGAAUAGGUCAGAGGGGGGUAGAAUUCCACGUGUAGCAGUGAAAUGCGUAGAGAUGUGGAGGAAUACCAAUGGCGAAGGCAGCCCCCUGGGAUCAUAUUGACGCUCAUGCACGAAAGCGUGGGGAGCGAACAGGAUUAGAUACCCUAGUAGUC
rnacentral:rRNA from 1 species